CAGCUGUCGCAGCUAGAGGUUCGACGUGCUACUAAACAGUUAGGAUAUGAGGCAACGGCCUUGCCACAGUGGAUACACCGGUUCCUGUGAGAUCACCGAAGUUAAGCGCUGUUGGGCGUGGCCGGCACUUGGAUGGGUGAACAUCCAGCUGCCAUGCGCUGUUGCCAUUUUUCGGGGCGCACUCAGCCUCUUGAUGCCAAUUGAGGAGCUAUUCGACCGAAUAGUAGUGGCUUCAGUCAAGAAUACCAUCGUAACGACCAGGAGAGAGGUGUGCUGACCCCACGCCCCUCCUAUCCACAUCCUCCUCGGAGGAUGACACGGCAGUCGGAUGGUCCCGGUAGGCCACUCAUGGCCUGAAGAUGGCGUCAAUUAUUGUUAUUAUUCAUAUAUGCCCGGCAUAAUUCCCAUGAAGUUCAGUGUUCCUGUUAAUACCCAUCUUUUUGCUAUUAAGCUUUUGUUCCUAAAGAUUGGAAACUGAAUUUGUAUGCAGUUAACCUAUAAUAAAUGUGAGGAAAAUGUGUGCUUAA